rnacentral:tRNA from 1 species
UGGUGCAUCGCGGUACCCUGUUUCUCUUAAUCAGCGGGUCCCAGGUUCGAGUCCUGGUGCGCCCACCA